AGGGGCUCGUUACUUCUUACAGCUCACAGUCCCUCCCGGGUCCAGCACACCUGAGGGCUGACCUCCCUCUUGAUUAGUGCAGGGGAAAAGCACUUUAAAAAGCUGUGUCAUGCGUAACUUGCACAUCUUCUGAUUCUGACCUGAAACUGCAUCCCAGGUCGGCACAGACGCAACCCAGUCUCCUCCCACCUCCGAGAGUGCAGUGUCCUGAAUGGAGAACCCCAGCACCCAGAAGCAUCCACUGAAGGACGUACUUCUUUGAUAGUGCCUCCAUGCAUGCAGAAGAUGACGUGGAGAGCUCCGCGC
rnacentral:lncRNA from 1 species